rnacentral:rRNA from 1 species
GAGUUUGAUCCUGGCUCAGAUUGAACGCUGGCGGCAUGCCUUACACAUGCAAGUCGAACGGCAGCACGGGAGCUUGCUCCUGGUGGGCGAGUGGCGAACGGGUGAGUAAUGCAUCGGAACGUAUCCUGGAGUGGGGGAUAACGUAGCGAAAGUUACGCUAAUACCGCAUAUUCUGUGAGCAGGAAAGCGGGGGACCUUCGGGCCUCGCGCUCUUGGAGCGGCCGAUGUCGGAUUAGCUAGUUGGUGAGGUAAAGGCUCACCAAGGCGACGAUCCGUAGCAGGUCUGAGAGGAUGAUCUGCCACACUGGAACUGAGACACGGUCCAGACUCCUACGGGAGGCAGCAGUGGGGAAUUUUGGACAAUGGGGGCAACCCUGAUCCAGCCAUGCCGCGUGAGUGAAGAAGGCCUGG